CCUACGGGGGGCAGCAGUGAGGAAUAUUGGUCAAUGGGCGCGAGCCUGAACCAGCCAAGUCGCGUGAGGGAAGACGGUCCUAUGGAUUGUAAACCCCUUUUGUCGGGGAGCAAAAGACGCCACGCGUGGCGUUCCGAGAGUACCCGAAGUAAAAGCAUCGGCUAACUCCGGGACAGCAGCCGCGGUAAUACGGGGGAUGCGAGCGUUAUCCGGAUCUAUUGGGUUUAAAGGGUGCGCAGGCGGAAGAUCAAGUCAGCGGUAAAAUUGAGGGGCUCAACCUCGUCGAGCCGUUGAUACUGGUUAUCUUGAGUGAGUGAGAGGUAUGCGGAAUGCGUGGUGUAGCGGUGAAAUGCAUAGAUAUCACGCAGAACUCCGAUUGCGAAGGCAGCAUACCGGCGCUCAACUGACGCUCAUGCACGAAAGUGUGGGUAUCGAACAGGAUUAGAUACCCUAGUAGUC
rnacentral:rRNA from 1 species